rnacentral:rRNA from 1 species
UACAGAGGGGUGCAAGCGUUAAUCGGAAUUACUGGGCGUAAAGCGCGCGUAGGUGGUUCGUUAAGUUGGAUGUGAAAUCCCCGGGGCUCAACCUGGGAACUGCAUUCAAAACUGUCGAGCUAGAGUAUGGUAGAGGGUGGUGGAAUUUCCUGUGUAGCGGUGAAAUGCGUAGAUAUAGGAAGGAACACCAGUGGCGAAGGCGAACCAC